AAAGAGUAUAUUGCACUAUUAUAUCAACACAGUGAUAUAUGAAAACUCGUAUAUGAUGUAUAUCUCUCUAAUUGAGGCGUUAUCCGGUCUGCCAGGAUAUGAAGGCGCAGAGGUGUGCAAAACUCUUU
ncrna:unclassified sequences RAGATH-7-assoc RNA